GGUUGCGAUCAUACCAGCACUAAUGCACCGGAUCCCAUCAGAACUCCGCAGUUAAGCGUGCUUAGGCGAGAGUAGUACUAGAAUGGGUGACCCCCUGGGAAGUCCUCGUGUUGCAACCCC
rnacentral:rRNA from 1 species